GGGCAGAAGGGGGCGGGAGGUUCUUUUUCCCCUGCCCAGCGCCUUCCACCCGGGGUUUUCGUUUUCAUUAAGUGCCACGUCCAUUCGGUCCUUGAACACCUCCCGGGAAUGUGACUGCAGCACCUCCGUGGGCAGUCAAUUCCGAUGUUUAACCACGCUUUCUGUUAAGAAAUCCUUCCUAAUGUCCAACCUUAACCUUCCCUUGAGGAGCUUGAGGCCAUGUCCUCUUGUCCUGUCGCUUGUUGCAUGGGAGAAGAGACAGAUACCCAGCUGGCUACUACCUCCUCUCAGGUCUGUAUGAAGAUGGAACACAUUAAAAUUAAGAGUUGCACAAGUUGUAGCUGAAGGGACCAUUGAAAAACUUUGAUAGAUACUUGGGAACAGGAGGUUCAGAAUGUUUGGUGAUGAAAAAGCAGUGUGAUGCCAGGGGCUGUAUUGCUGGCAGCAUAACAUAAACACCUUUGAUUUAUAAGCUGGUGCCAAAUGAAGUUCUCAAAAAGCCACGGAAAGGCUACCUGGAAAAUCAACAAAUGUGUUACAUGCAAAUGAGCCAGCUUCCUUUUUGUAGUUCUCAAAAUGAAUCCUUCUUCUGCAAGGUGGUUUGGGCAUUUUAGGGAGUGGUAAGUGAACCACACCUCUUCUUCCGAAUUUUUCUCACUGACCCACUACUGGGCCUUAGUUCUGCCAAGGAAAAGCCUUUUAAAGUUCAGUGUCAACAGUCAAGUGUUGUCUGUUCUCUGAAAGGACAACAUGUAUCUGAGGGAUCUAAAAAUAUCGUUCAAUGUUGAGAACUAGAGAAUUUAUGUACUUUAUAGGGACCCAAAUUACAUAGAGCCAGUAAAAUACAAAAAUUAAUAACUUUGUCCGGUAAUUAAUUGCUAGUCGCAUGUGAGGACAGUUUUCAGGAAAGACUAGUUUUCAUUCUUGGUUUCCUGAAUUGAUAUAUGUCUAUCCACUUACCUGCCUACCUCUACUGGACAAGCACAAGAUUAUGUUGAAGAAUACAGACCCUGAGUUAGAUUUUGAGUUAGAUUCUUUGCAUGUUAGCUAUGCCAUGCACAGACAGUGGGGGGAGAUCAUUAGGAAGCCAAAUGCAAUUUACUUGUCACAGAGUGAGUUAUGGUAUGCUAUGGGCAGUUUUCUCUUAUGCUAUUGAUGGAUAAACUCCACGGACUCUUAAUCUAUGAAGAAUCAGAUAAUAAAACAGAAUUCUGUCAAGAGCUCUGCUCCAUUAAGGCAUCUCUUCCCCACCAGGAACCACUCCACUGUCCCUUUGCACUCACAGUCCUGACAAUAGUUAUGCAAAAUGGCAGGGAUGGAAAAAAGACUGAUAAGUGGUAUAUAGUUUCCAGGCCAUUUCUUCCAUCCCAUCUCACUCCCUCUGUUUUUGUAAAUGGCAGAGAGGGACUGGACUGUAUCAUACAAGUCAUGUUACUUUUUGUUGUUUUUUUUUAACAUUAUACACUGAAUUGUGGUAUAAACUGCAAAUGCUCUGUAAAGGGCUUUUUUGCCCUUCAAUACAAAGAUUUCAGUCUGUGCCCCUUGUACAGCUCUGCCUCUCUCUUCUAAUGGGAGGCCUCAGCAUGGGGAAAACACAUCCUAAGAAAGCAGAACAACAGGGCGGGAAUUAGUCGGAUGCAGAGGAGAGCAGCUCGAUACUAACGGCCAAAUAGGCUCUGACAGCCUCACACCAACGGGCCACUCUCCUCUAUGGGGAGUUUAUGAGGCCUUGGCUUGUGUGGCCACCUCCACUUACGAAUGAAAAUCAAAACCAGAUUGAUGUCCCCCUCCCAACAGCAGCUGCCUGAUUUUUUGCAUAAAUCGUGCUCCCCGGCCCCUCUCCAGGGGAGCUCCAUAAAAUAAA